rnacentral:rRNA from 1 species
UGGGGAAUUUUGCACAAUGGGGGAAACCCUGAUGCAGCGACGCCGCGUGAUUUAGAAGGCCUUCGGGUUGUAAAAAUCUUUUCUAUGGGAAGAAAAUGACAGUACCAUAGGAAUAAGGACCGGCUAAUUACGUGCCAGCAGCCGCGGUAAUACGUAAGGUCCGAGCGUUGUCCGGAAUCAUUGGGCGUAAAGGGUACGUAGGCGGGUAAGCAAGUUAGAAGUAAAAUCCUAUAGCUCAACUAUAGUAAGCUUUUAAAACUGCUCAUCUUGAGGUAUGGAAGGGAAAGUGGAAUUCCUAGUGUAGCGGUGAAAUGCGCAGAUAUUAGGAGGAAUACCGGUGGCGAAGGCGACUUUCUGGCCAUAACCUGACGCUGAGGUACGAAAGCGUGGGUAGCAAACAGG